GAUGAACGCUGGCGGCGUGCCUAAUACAUGCAAGUCGAGCGAACAGAUGAGGAGCUUGCUCCUCUGACGUUAGCGGGACGGGUGAGUAACACGUGGAUAACCUACCUAUAAGACUGGGAUAACUUCGGGAAACCGGAGCUAAUACCGGAUAAUAUAUUGAACCGCAUGGUUCAAUAGUGAAAGACGGUUUUGCUGUCACUUAUAGAUGGAUCCGCGCCGCAUUAGCUAGUUGGUAAGGUAACGGCUUACCAAGGCAACGAUGCGUAGCCGACCUGAGAGGGUGAUCGGCCACACUGGAACUGAGACACGGUCCAGACUCCUACGGGAGGCAGCAGUAGGGAAUCUUCCGCAAUGGGCGAAAGCCUGACGGAGCAACGCCGCGUGAGUGAUGAAGGUCUUCGGAUCGUAAAACUCUGUUAUUAGGGAAGAACAAAUGUGUAAGUAACUAUGCACGUCUUGACGGUACCUAAUCAGAAAGCCACGGCUAACUACGUG
rnacentral:rRNA from 1 species